AGAAAGAGAUAACAGAGCUUUGGUAGAGCAAUAUGUGAAAUUAGUUAUUCAGUGGAAUUCAGAAAAAUCAAAGGAACGAAGUGAAAAAAAUAAGAUUGCUCGGAAGCAAAAGAUAAUGAAUCAGACAACUGGAAGAAGAUCUUUUGCUCAAGUGCAACAAAAAUUGGGAAAAGAAAGGGGACGCCCUCCAUCACGAGUCGAAUUAUUCCAUGCUUGCUUUACUCAUGCUAAUGGAAGCCCCUCAAGCAACAUUGUGGC